rnacentral:rRNA from 1 species
GACGAACGCUGGCGGCGUGCUUAACACAUGCAAGUCGAACGGAAAGGCCCUGCUUUUGUGGUGUUCUCGAUUGGCGAACGGGUGAGUAACACGUGUGUAACCUGCCCUUGACUUUGGGAUAACUUCAGGAAACUGGGGCUAAUACCGGAUAGGAGCUCCUGCUGCAUUGUGGGGGUUGGAUAGUUUCGGCGGUUGGGGAUGGACUCGCGGCUUAUCAGCUUGUUGGUGGGGUAGUGGCUUACCAAGGCUUUGACGGGUAGCCGGCCUGAGAGGGUGACCGGCCACCUUGGGACUGAGAUACGGCCCAGACUCCUACGGGAGGCAGCAGUGGGGAAUAUUGCACAAUGGGCGGAAGCCUGAUGAAGAAACGCUGCGUGCGGGAUGACGGCCUUCGGGUUGUAAACCGCUUUAGCCUGUGACGAAGCGUGAGUGACGGUAAUGGGUAAAGAAGCACCGGCUAACUACGUG